rnacentral:rRNA from 1 species
CAGCAGCCGCGGGAAUACGAAGGGGGCUAGCGUUGUUCGGAAUUACUGGGCGUAAAGGGCGCGUAGGCGGCCAUUCAAGUUAGAUGUGAAAGCCCUGGGCUCAACCUAGGAAUUGCAUUUGAUACUGUUUGGCUUGAGUUCGGGAGAGGUGAGUGGAAUUCCCAGUGUAGAGGUGAAAUUCGUAGAUAUUGGGAAGAACACCAGUGGCGAAGGCGGCUCACUGGACCGACACUGACGCUGAGGCGCGAAAGCGUGGGGAGCAAACAGGAUUAGAGACCCGUGUAGUCCCUGUCUCUUAUAC